GCUGAGGUUAAUUGAUGCAGCUUCUUCAGAACCAAGUGGUCCAUGGGCUGAUGCGUCAAAGAUGCAGGUUCAGUUUAGUCAGCUAAAAUACCACCAUGGCUAAUCAUGGCGCAGACUUUGACAUCUUCGGACAGACCUCCACUCUUGCCUGAACCUGUCCAAACACACGCUAUCUGCAUGCUGUCCCAGAGGUUAGCAAUGCGAGGCAGCUGUUUCCCUCCAUGUGGAAGUUCAACCCCAGGGCUUUUCCGAGAGUAGUGACUGUUCGUGCCUCCCCAACAGACGAGUAUGCAGGGAAGUGAAGUGGAAGCAGUGACAUGGAAACCAGAAAUGGGUUUGGAGGUGCCCCUCAGCUGAAAGUGGACUCC